GUGGGGAAUAUUGGUCAAUGGGGGAAACCCUGAACCAGCAACGCCGCGUGAAGGAAGAAGGCUUUCGGGUUGUAAACUUCUUUGACAGGGGACGAAAGCAAUGACGGUACCCUGAAAACAAGCCACGGCUAACUACGUGCCAGCAGCCGCGGUAAUACGUAGGUGGCGAGCGUUGUCCGGAUUUACUGGGUGUAAAGGGCGUGUAGGCGGGGCGGUAAGUCAGAUGUGAAAUGUAGGGGCUCAACCCCUGAAUUGCAUUUGAAACUAUCGUUCUUGAGUGAUGGAGAGGCAGGCGGAAUUCCGUGUGUAGCGGUGAAAUGCGUAGAUAUACGGAGGAACACCAGUGGCGAAGGCGGCCUGCUGGACAUUAACUGACGCUGAGGCGCGAAAGCGUGGGGAGCAAACAGGAUUAGAAACCCGAGUAGUCC
rnacentral:rRNA from 1 species